rnacentral:rRNA from 1 species
UGCGAACUCCUACGGGAGGCAGCAGUGGGGAAUUUUGGACAAUGGGCGCAAGCCUGAUCCAGCAAUGCCGCGUGAGUGAAGAAGGCCUUCGGGUUGUAAAGCUCUUUUGUCAGGGAAGAAACGGCGGAGGUUAAUACCUUCCGCUAAUGACGGUACCUGAAGAAUAAGCACCGGCUAACUACGUGCCAGCAGCCGCGGUAAUACGUAGGGUGCAAGCGUUAAUCGGAAUUACUGGGCGUAAAGCGUGCGCAGGCGGUUUUGUAAGUCUGUCGUGAAAGCCCCGGGCUCAACCUGGGAAUUGCGAUGGAGACUGCAAGGCUUGAAUCUGGCAGAGGGGGGUAGAAUUCCACGUGUAGCAGUGAAAUGCGUAGAGAUGUGGAGGAACACCGAUGGCGAAGGCAGCCCCCUGGGUCAAGAUUGACGCUCAUGCACGAAAGCGUGGGGAGCAAACAGGAUUAGAAACCCGGGUAGUCCAGAUG